AUCCAGGCCAGGAGCUGCCUAGGCUUUUGGGGCAGCCUGCGUGGGUCGUGUGGAAAGGCACAGGUGGUUUGACCACCCUUUCCUCUUUUCCUGCCACUUGGGUUUGGGCCACGUCAAUCCUGUGCAAAUGUCCAAAGACACACACACUCUUACAGAUACACAGAAAAUACAAACAUAUUCACAUACACACACAGUUACACACACACAAAGAUGUAUGCAAACACACUCAUGAGCACCCACACACAGAUGCACAGAAACAUACACAGGAAACAGGUGCACACAAACACAUAUACAGAACACAAACACACAAUCACAGACAAGUCCACACAAACACACAGUCACACACAAGUGCACAGAAACGCACCCCUAUACAGUCACACAGAAGUGCACACAAACACACCCAUACACAGUCACCCGCAGACACACACAAACGCACCAUAUACAGUCAUGCGCAGGUGCACACAAACGCACCCAUAAACAGUCACACACAGAUGCAGCCAAACACACUGACACAUAUACAUACAUACACAGGAACACAGUACAGCAAUACACACAGACACACAGACACACACACACACAUAACACAUUGAUGUUAUGAAGAGCAGAAAACAGUGAUGGUGACAACAGCUUAGGAUUUACUUCUUUAAAAAGAAAAGUCUUGGAGUCAGCUAGAGAGCUGGAAGCCACCUUCAGAUCAGCUGGCCCGUCCUCUCUGGUGCAGAUGAGGAAACUGAUGCCAGGAGUAGGAUUCCUACAGGGUAGGGUAGGAGGGGAGAUAGGAGGAGGUGAGUGGGAUGGUUCAGAGCAGAGUGAACAUUUCCUGACCCCAGACCCACUCCAUGUUUCUCUUACAGUGAGAAGGGUCAGAAAGAUUAGACUGCUGCCUGGGUCUGCUCAAGGCAAACGUUUUCAUAAUUUUGGAAGGCAGACAGAAGACAAAAAAAUGUGAAAUAUUGCUGAUGCAUUGGGGAGAGACAGGGAAUGUUAGUUAAGUCCACCCAGACAAAACAUGGAUAGCACAGCAGACUGGUGUUCUUGCCAAAUGAGUUUUCAGAAAACUACUGAGCCAUCAUGAUUUUCGAAGUGUAUUUGCUGUCAGAACACCAAUAAGUAACCUUUUUUGCUCUAUCACCAUGCCUGAGCCCUUCAUAUGCAUUAUUUCUUUUAAUCUUCAUUACGGUUUGACCAUGUGGGUACCACUUUGCAGAGGAGGAAACCGGCUCAAGGAAGGGCACAGUGGCAAGCUGCAGAAUCUCGCCCAAGACCCCUGCUCUGAACCACCAGAGCAAGGUCGUUUCUUUGUUCUCUUGAAUUGUAUGUUCCUCAUGAUUACUAGGAACAUAUAAUCUAACAGAGCAAAAAAGUGGAACACUCUAUUGCUGGAAAAGAACGAACAAUGUAAUUGAGUGCUGUAUUGUGCAUUAUCAAGAGUGCAUGGGAGGAAACCAGAUGAGGAUGAUGACAGCAGGCAGCAUGAUCAGGGGCUCGAGAGCCAGGUAGCUCUGGUCCCGGGCUUGGCUUCUCUGCCACUUUCAAGAUGUGGUACUUUACUUCCUUUAGUCUCACUUUCCUCUCUAAUGAAAUGGGGGUAAUGAUGGUUUGCAUCUCAUAGGAGAGUCAUGAAAAUUCAAUGAGAUGAUGCCUUCUUAUCACUUAGUUCAGGUACAUGUAACAAUGAAGAAAAUGGUGGCUGGGAGCAGUGGCUCACGCCUGGAAUCCCAGCACUUUGGGAGGCUGAGGCAGGCAGAUCAUCUGAGGUUGGGAGUUAGAGACCAGCCUGGCUAACAUGGUGAAACCUCGUCUCUACUAAAAAUACAGAAUUACCCAGGUGUGGUGGCGAGUGCCUGUAAUUUCAGCUACUCGGGAUGCUGAGGCAGGAGGAUCACUUGUCUCAAGAGAAAAGAAAAGAGUAGCUACUGCCACUAAUACUUGCACCACUGCGGCUGUUUGAGUUGCAGCCACCAGGGAAGACUUUGAAAGACAAGUAAGUUGUGGCUAGGGAGAGACACAAAGGCUGGGGAAAUAGAAUUCCAUAAAAUUUAAAAGAUCAAAAAGGAAAGGAAAUGCAGAAGGUGUGUGUGUGUGUGUGUGUGUGUGUGGUUUUUCUGAGAGUCACAGUUAUUAACAGCAGUGAUAUUACCUCUUGUCAAAAAAGCACUGUUCAAUGAUAGAUUGCUUCAAUGACUUAUAGAAUUCCUGUUUCUCCCCAAUUUGCCAACUCAGUGAAAUAACUUUUGGCUGGGGUGAAGCACCUCUGUGUACCCAUCAUGGUGCAGACACCUGGGGAGCCAAAUAUUCCCACUAGAACAUUUAUUGGCCAGUGAAUUGGGAUUAGGAUGUGUUUCCUCAUAGAACAAUGUCAUAUUGUUGCGUUUCUGGGUCAACGACAUGGAAGUUUUACAAUGUACCUAAGUGCUGCAGAGUUGCAAUAAAGCAGAGGAGAGUUGCAGUAAAUGAGAAAACAACGCUGAUUCAAUGCUAGGGACUAAGCUAAACCAAACCAAAUCAAGUUUAAUAAGAAAUUGUAUUUUAGCAGAAAGGCUGGCAAAGGCAGAUUCAAUUAAGGGAAGGUAAUGGGAUUGAAAUACGGACGAUUCUAGAGAAGAUGACUUCACAAUUUCAAGAUGCUUGUGGUUUCUUGACCCUGGCUCUUUAUCCUAACAUGCUCAUUCCAAAAUGUUUGUCUUCCCUCUUUCCUCAGUUCUGAUGUAUUCCUCACCCUGCUCUAAUGUUUUCCUGGCAUGACUAAGGCCAUUUCAAAUGAAGAAGCAGAAUGAAAAGAUGGGGAGAGAAGAUGAUGCUCUCCUUCCCAGUGAACUGUAGUAUCAGAGAUGCCCUGGCAUGUAGGAAACCUCUGGAAAUGGUGACAGACCGAGGACUCUGAGGACAAAAAUCUUCUAAUGUCGAAGCCAUUGUAGGAUGAUGGAAUCUCGUGCUGUUGCCCAGGCUGGAGUGCAGUGGUGUGAUCUUGGCUCACUGCAGCCUCCACCUCCCGGGUUCAAGCGAUCCUCCUGCCUCAGCUUCCUUAGUAGCUGGGACCACAGGUGUGUGCCACCACACCUGACCUUUCUAUACUUUUGUUUAACCAUUUAAAGUAUACGUUUCAGUGGCAUUAAGUACAUUGAUGGGUGUUGUAUGACCAUCACCUCUUCAUUUCCAGAACUUUCUAUCAUCCCGAACAGAAACUGUAUUCAUUAAACAAUAACUCCUCAUUCCCUUCAGCCCCUGAUAACCUCUACUGUAUUUUCUGUCUACAAAUAUACCUCAGACAAGUGGUAUCAUACAGUAUUUCUCAUUUUAUGUCUGGCUUAUUUCUCUUAGCAUGUUUUCAAGGUUCAUUCCUGUGGCAACACAGAGAAUUUCACUCCUUUGGAAGGCUGAAUAAUAUUCAGUGGUACAUAUAUGAUAUUUAUCCAUGGACAUGAGUUUUUUUCCACCUUUGGCUAUUGUGAAUAAUGCUGCCAUGCACACUGCAAAAAUAUCUGUUUGCAUCACUAUUUUCAGUUCUUUGGGAUAUAUACCUAGAGGUAAAAUGGCUAGAUCAGAUGCCAAUUCUACGUUAAACUUUUUGAGAGACUGGCAAACUGUUUUCCAUAAGGACUGCCCCAUUUCACAUUCCCACCAAGAGUGAAGGGAGGGCUCCAAUUUCUCCACAUUCCUGCCAACAUUUAUUGUUGUGUUUUGUUUUAUACACAGCCAUCCUAAUGGGUAGGAAGUGGUAUCUCAUGUAGUUUGGAUUUGCAUUCCAUACUUUUUCUAAUUCAGUCACUAAAGAUAGUUAUGGCUUUUCCUCUGAAAUUCCAGUAGCUUCUCUUGGUCAACCAAACAAUGUGUGUAUGAAGCCCAUUUCUUCACAGAUCUCAGAGCUGCUCAGCAGGGAUUUCACCCUGUCACUGUCACACCACACGGUACAGAGAGACUGAUUGGAAUUGAAGGAAGGCAAACUGCUGAAUCGAGAAAGACACUUUGCACUCUCUCUGGGGCACGAUGAAGGGUUUUUCCUUUUCUUUCUUGCUUUCUUUUUCUUUGAUACACCAGCAUCAGAGAACUGCCAUUUAGUGCACAGCAGGCAAUUCACCCAUCAGGCCUGUGAAGGUAGUUGAAGUAGCCGCUCUGAUGGCUGAAUGGCCGGACAAAAGCGGCCAUUGUGGGGCUGACUGGUUUUGAGGAUAACAAUGAUACUCUGAUCUGACAGCGAUACCAUGAAAUUAUAUACCUGUGAUGGAAAGAGCUGGAUCUUGAACAAGUCGCUCCUCUAAUGAUCAGCUAAUGGCAACAGGCCCCCUUUACACUACUACAAGAAAAGUCACAGGACAACCGUAUGCUCCUUUUUAGAAGUAGAUGUAUGUGAGCUGCGGCAGGUACAUCUCUGAUGACAGUUAGGAGGUUGGUGCCCCUGAUUCUGGGACUGAUGCUGGCACCAUUCAGGAGAGAAAGGUUGUGGCUGGCAUUCUCAAGUAUACACCAGUAAAAGAAGGGCAUGUGGCACACUGGUCUUAUUUGGGUUCCCUUGAAGCUGAGGCUUUACUUGAUUUGUGGACAUAGAGGAAAUAAGAGUAGUGAAGGUAGGUAGGUAAGUGUCCCACAAAUCUGGCUCUAGGCUUUAGAGCACAGACUUUAUUGAGACUAUUCCAGUCAACAGCAGGGAAACUCACCUCUGCUGGUAAUGCCAGCCUAGCAAUCUAGCUGAACUUGUUAGUUAAGUCAAGAAUAGUAAUCAUCACUGGGGCUUCUGGUGAACUGGCAAGAGAGACCAAAAAGGUAAUUGAAGUGAUGGAGAUGUUACUUUUUCAGAUGGACUCUUUAGAGGGUUUUUUUUUCUUUUGAGAUGGAUUUUCGCUCUUAUUGACCAGACUACAGUGCAAUGGUGUUUUCUCAGCUCACCACAACCUCUGUCUCACCUUCCCAGUUCAAGCAAUUCUCCUGCCUCAGCCUCCCGAAUAGCUGGGAUUACAGGCAUGCAUCACCACACCCGGCUGAUUUUGUAUUUUUAGUAGAGAUGGAGUUUCACCAUGUUGGCCAGGCUGGUGACCUCAAGUAAUCUGCCUACCUUGGCCUCCCAAAGUGCUGAGAUUACAGGCAUGAGCCACCACACCCGGCCUCUUUUGAGUUUUAUGAAUAAAAAUUUCCAAGAGAAAUAAUUUGAUUGGUCUACUUUUGCCAGAUAUAGGUGAUGGGGGGGAGGGGCGGAUGGAGGCAGCAAACCACAUUGCCAUGUAUAUACCUAUGCAACAAUCCUGCAUGAUCUGCACAUGUGCCCCAGAA